AUACGUAUCAUACUAUUACACACAUAUAUACGAGCUGAAAAGAAAAACAACAUCACAUCCCAACAAGCCUGUCACGCACUGUGAUCAUAACCACUUUACCUACGCCUCCUUCCAUUUCACCAGUACCGACACACACACACACACACACAGCGAGAAUCAACGACAACAAUACUAAAUAAAGGGAGAAGGAAAAAACACUGUAACGCUUGUCGACUCUUCCCCUCCCCCCCGAAGAAAAAGAAAAGGAAAGAAAAAGGAAUCUACACGAGGAAGCGCGCACAGCGCGCACGUGCACUUAUUGCCUGGCGCACAUUCUACCUCGAGCACACACAUUCCCGUGCACACACACACACACAUAUAUAUACAUCUUCCUUUUCGCUACACCUCUCUCGCUUGUUUGGCUUGACUACGCACACAGAUCUCCAUAUAUUGCGCCUGUUUUUAUUUCACCCGUUUUCUCGGCUUCACUAUCGCCGCACUUUUCGAGGCCACGACCAUCAUCAUCAACCCCCACCCCCGAGCUCCGCCUUGUCCAUCGACUCUCUUGUUUCUCGUCUUUGUUUGACCUUUAUCUGUCUCACCACCCCGGACCACGCCGCAUCGUGUUCCGUUAUAUAUUUAUUUCCCCUUUUCGCUGUUCUUGUGGCUUUGCUGUUGUGCUUCGCGGCGCAUCGUUUCGCGUUCGCUCUCUCUUUCCUGUUUGCUCUGUCAAGCAAAGAACAGGCUCAGGGCACGUCAUCGCCGUGGCAAGGGCGCACGUGAUCAGAGCAGCCAGCGCACUAUGACUGCAGAGGGUAAAAGUUGAGGAAGCAACAUCGCAUUUCUCUCCCCCCCUCUCCCUCCCCCACACCUGCUCUGGUACGGAUAGGCGGCAUAGCUCCACCGUCGCUGUCACCUCAUUCCGCAUCUCUCCCGUUUCGCCGCUUCUGUCAGAGUGUACUCUUUUUCUUUCCUUCCCGCGAUCGCCCCACAUAGAACGAUCGGGCUCUGAAGUUGACGAGCAAAGUUCGUGACGAGACGGGACGGGAACAGGUCCAGUUCUGCGCCACUCCUCUGCCACCGUCUUCUCUUUUUUCUUUUAAUUGAGUGGCUUGCCUUCUCUUUGUUUCUGCUUCCUGACCAUUUCGUGCGCGGCAGCACAUCUCCAACACACACACACAUACACACAAAUACCCCUUCAUCAUUGUCACGUCGUCGUUACAACGUGUGUCUGCGUGUGUGUGUGUGUGUCUUCGUCAGUCGACGUGCGCUUCCCCAGCGAAGAGCAAGCACGAACUUCAAAGGAAGCGAAGCUUAGAAAGGAAAGGCCUCCAAUUCGCUGCACAAAUAAUGAAAACCGUACACGACCUCAAUCAGUACGGGCUUGACUUCCUUGAGCUAAAGGCUUUGAGCGUUCCGUCAUCGCUGCGCUUCUUGCUCGGCAUCGAGUAUGAUGUGGUGCUUUGCGUGAACGAGGUGGGCACUCGCCGUCCAUUCCGCCUCCACUUUCCCGUCUUCGCGCCGACGCUCCGCAAGCUGCUGUCACUCUGUGCCAAGCGGUUUGGACUGGACUGCGAGCACGGCGAGGCGGAGUCUGUCCUGACAGGCACCGCCUUGAUGCCGCUGUUGCGGUACGCCGAUUAUCUGCCCGGGGCUCUUCACGUUAAGGAGAUUCUGGAAUGCCUACAGGUGGAGCCGGCUGCGAAGGCAAGGAAGUGGAUGAGCCCCGCCGCCUCUCCUGCUUUGCCCUCUGCGUCUGUGGGUUCCGACGCGACAACUGACAACGCUGCCGCUACCGCUGGGACCAGUAACGAGUUUGAGGCAAGCUUCAUCGACUACUCCGAGUUUUCGUCCGACAGCUCGCUCGACGACGUGCACGGAUUGGGCUUUUAUCUGCUGCUCGAUUACGGCUUAAGUCUCGCCACCCACAGCCACCUCGUCGGCAUUCGCUUUCACAAGGACUGGGACCCGGCGGAGGCGCUGCGUGAGUUUCAGGAGUUCAGUGGCUGGUCCGAGUUCGACCUGCGCUACCACGAUGAGCAGCGGCCGCAAGACGGCGGUGUCAUCAUUAUGCCGUCCUCCCAAGAUGCCUGCGACCUGCUGGAGAAGUACGAGGACGAGGACUCGGACGACGAAGGCGAUCUGCUCCCAUUCAUCCUCCGUCCUGUCUCCCCACUCGUUCCCGUGCCCUCGCUCGAGGACGCCACCCUACGCAAGUUACGCGACCAGCACUGGGACGAUGUGAAGAAGCAUUGGACGCACCUGCCGCAGACUCUGAACACCGUCGUUGUGUACAACCUGUACGAAGGGGCGACUUUAGCAGAGGUGCUAUCCUUCUUCGAGCCGCUUCCGAUUGUCUCGUCGGCGUUUGUUGAGGAUAAGGCGCCAUCUCACCGUCGACGCGCCUUCAUCACGUUCGCGAACCUUGAGGCGACGCGCAAGGCGCUAGAUGUGGACGGCAAGAACACUCGUGGAUGUACGUUGCGAGUGCAGGUGUCGCCUCCGUACAUCUCUCCCAGCCGCCGCGGCAAUCCAGUGAAAACGGAGCGCGACUGCGAUGGCGCAGGUGACAGCUUCGCAAAGACGGGGAGCGGCGGUGCUGCCGCAAGCACGGCGGCUCACAACUCUUGCAUGAGCUCUUCGCCGACCUCUAGCCCUUCUCUCCUUACUAUCGACAACACCACAACAGCGCUGCAUGGGAAGGCCAAACCUGCUGGCAACGGAAAUGGGGGCGCUGCUUGUGAAACCACCUCUGUCGCCGCCGCCCACGUAGGUGCUGCGUCGAUUCCAACCGGCAAAUCCGAGACCAGCAUGGUGCGGCCGGUCUCCACUUCUCCUACGCCAGCCUAUGUGGUUCAGACAGGGUCAACGCUAUCUGGUGCUGCUGCUGCCGUUCCGAAUGCCAGCUCCUUCGGUGGCUUUGUCGAUCGAGCCGCAGCGGUGGCGGGGGCGAUUGCAGCGAGAGCUCAUGCCAUUGCAGCCGCCUCCGCAGCUCCAAUUUCGCCACCGAAAGCGAUGGGCGGCGGAGCUGCGCCUGCCGCGUCAGGAGCUGAAAAAGACAAGCGGAUCGACGUCAUGUCCUCGCCGAGUGGCUCGCACAUGAACGCCGCUGCAAAGGAGUUUGUCCCUCAUUUUCAGCUCAUCGCCAAUUCCCCCGAGUACCGCCCGACACCGCCGCCGAAAAUCGAGGCUUUGUACGGCGACUACGCUGGUCUGCCGAGCCUCCGUGACGGCGUCGGGCUUCCACCGCCGCCACCGCCACCACCGCCGCCGCCGUCCUACGUGGAGGCGCUCAGCCCUGCACCAGAGUACCGCCCCGCCCCGCGCUCCUCACGUCUCUCGCACGUUGGUGCCUCGCCGAGCUUGCCGCCUUACGCGUUGCCUCCUCCGUACGUUGCAGGUGGGGAUGACGUAGGUGACAUGUUUCCGCCCCCACCACUGCCGCCGCCGUACUUGGGCGACUGACUGACGACGGCUCUCUCAUUCCACGUCGACCCUGUUGUUGAUUUAUUCAUAUCUGCGCCUGUGCCUGUGCGCGUGUGUGUCGUCCUUGUCGCCCCCCUCACCCAAAAGCAACAACAAGAGCAACAAAAACCAGACACACAAACACGCAGGCAGGAAGAGAAAGAGGGAGCAUCGUUCCCGCUCCUGCCCCUCUCUCCUUUCCCCCUGAUUCGUCCAUGCCAAUAUUCUGAUGAGGAGAUGCACACGAAGAGACAUCAGGCACGCAAGCAAACGACAACCCAUUUUUUUUAUGUGGUGGUGUUGGUGGUGGUGGGAGGGGGCGUCGUGUCAACGUAACGGGAGAGAGACGAAAAAAAAUGUAAAGCAUCGGUGUAUGUUUUUUUUUUUGUGGGUGCUCUGCAUCGCUUCUUCUUCCACUCGGUUUUUGUUUUUAUUUUGUUUCUUCUUGCUUCUGUUGUUGUUUGUUGUAGAUGUCCUGUUGCUUCUCAGGGUUUGUGUGCGUGUGUGUGUUUCAUCGACUUGCUCAUGCUCGUCUUGGUUGCUCCCGUGUUUUCUUUUCCUUCUCACUCCUGUUUUCGCCGUGAGAGGCAGGACGAGAGAAAAUAAAAGGAAGCCAACGACACGCACCAUCAAGCACAGGUGCUUGCUUGCCUCUAUGCAAGGGGCGGCUGCGCUUUCGAAGUGUGCGGUGAUGUCAGGUGAUAAUGUCGGCUUUUUUUUUCACGCUUCUUCCGUGGAUGCGGACCGCCACCGAUCCAAAACGGUGUGAUACCUGCAGGCCUGAAGAUGCGCACAGACACCCACGGACGCGGGUGUCUGUGCGUCAGCCUCCAUGUACUACUUCAGCUCCGUCUUGGGCGGAGAAAACAGAAAAAACAGCAGCAUAAGCAGCGCGACCGAAGGACCGCAGUAAAAGAUCCGCACACAGGUGCACACACAUACAUGAAAGGAGGAACAAGAAUAACACGAAGCAACAACGGAAAGCAAACAAAAAAAAGCAUC
rnacentral:misc_RNA from 1 species